rnacentral:rRNA from 1 species
UACGUAGGGUGCAAGCGUUAUUCGGAAUUAUUGGGCGUAAAGGGCGCGUAGGCGGCCUGGCAAGUGGAUGGUGAAAUCCCUCGGCUUAACCGAGGAACUGCCAUCCAGACUGCUUGGCUUGAGACCGGGAGAGGUGAGUGGAAUUCCCAGUGUAGCGGUGAAAUGCGUAGAUAUUGGGAGGAACACCAGUGGCGAAGGCGGCUCACUGGACCGGUACUGACGCUGAGGCGCGAAAGCGUGGGGAGCAAACGGG